GAUGAACGCUAGCUACAGGCUUAACACAUGCAAGUCGAGGGGAAACGACAUCGAAAGCUUGCUUUUGAUGGGCGUCGACCGGCGCACGGGUGAGUAACGCGUAUCCAACCUGCCCAUCACUUGGGGAUAACCUUGCGAAAGUAAGACUAAUACCCAAUGAUAUCUCUAGAAGACAUCUGAAAGAGAUUAAAGAUUUAUCGGUGAUGGAUGGGGAUGCGUCUGAUUAGCUUGUUGGCGGGGUAACGGCCCACCAAGGCAACGAUCAGUAGGGGUUCUGAGAGGAGGGUCCCCCACAUUGGAACUGGGACACGGUCCAAACUCCUACGGGAGGCAGCAGUGAGGAAUAUUGGUCAAUGGGCGAGAGCCUGAACCAGCCAAGUAGCGUGCAGGAAGACGGCCCUAUGGGUUGUAAACUGCUUUUAUAAGGGAAUAAAGUGAGAGUCGUGACUCUUUUUGUAUGUACCUUAUGAAUAAGGACCGGCUAAUUCCGUG
rnacentral:rRNA from 1 species